rnacentral:rRNA from 1 species
CACGGAGUUAGCCGGCUGCUUCUUCUGUGGGUAACGUCAUUACUCUAGCUCUUAACCUAAGCAACCUCCUCCCCACUGAAAGUGCUUUACAACCCUCAGGCCUUCGCCACACACGCGGCAUUGCUGGAUCAGGGUUCCCCCCAUUGUCCAAUAUUCCCCA